UACGAGGGGGGCGAGCGUUGUUCGGAAUUAUUGGGCGUAAAGGGUGCGUAGGCGGUUUGGUAAGUCUUGUGUGAAAUCUCCAGGCUCAACUUGGAGUCUGCACGAGAAACUGCCGGGCUUGAGUGUGGGAGAGGUGAGUGGAAUUCCUGGUGUAGCGGUGAAAUGCGCAGAUAUCAGGAGGAACACCGGUGGCGAAGGCGGUUCUCUGGGCAUGACCUGACGCUGAGGAGCGAAAGUGUGGGGAGCGAACAGG
rnacentral:rRNA from 1 species